rnacentral:tRNA from 1 species
GGCCGGGUAGCUCAGUUGGUAGAGCAGGGGAUUGAAAAUCCCCGUGUCGGGGGUUCGAUUCCCUCCCCGGCCACCAU